UCUGGCUACUAUUUGAGGUUUUAUCGCUAUCGUUCAUCUCCGCCGCCAUUCAUUUGCUCGGCACCGCUCAGCCCCAAGUUGCCGUAAGCAACGUUAUUGUUGUUGCUGCCUUUGGCGGAGGUUCUAGAUCUGCUUCUCUGGUUUCAAUUUGAGGUUUUAUCACCGCCGUUCAUCUCCUCACUGCUGUUCAUUUGCUCGUCGUCGUCCAUUUCCUCACCGCCGUAAGCAACAUCGUUGAUGUUGCCUUUGGUGGAGCUUCUGCGAUCUAAUUUUUUGCUUUGAUUUGAGGGUUUGCUUUCUGUUCGCAACCGUUCAUCAUCUCCUCACUGCCGCAAGUGACGCCGUUGUUGCUCUCUCUGGCGGAGCUUCUGAGAUCUAGUCCUUUGGCUUCAAUUUGCAGAUUCAAUCUGGUUCUCUAGCUGUGAAGCUAUUUUUGCUGCCUCCGACUAAGCUUGUAUGAUUUGGUUCUACCAUCUAUAUCAAUUCACAUUCUACCUGAGCCAGGAAUUUGAAUGUUCCUAUUACAUAUAUUGACAAAGCAUAUCAAGUGAUGAGUUUGGUCUGAUUAUUACUCGACAGGGAAUCUGCAGAGAUAUGGUGGAUACCCAACAAGGGCUAUGAAGGAAAAGAGGAAACAGAGCUGUACUUUUUGUGUACGCUAUGGAAGGACUAGAGAACAUGGCGUUCGUUGCCAAUGCGGUGAGCCUAUUAACAUAUUUCUUUGGCUUCAUGUACUUCAGCUUAACAAAAUCUGCCACAACCUUGACCAACUUCAUGGAAACUGCAUUCUUGCUAUCUCUAGUUGGAGGAUUCAUCAAUGAUACAUGUCUGUCUAGGUUCAAAACAUGUGUUAUCUUUGCAUCCAUGGAAUUGCUGGUUCUGCUCUCAAUAAGCUUUUUGAUAAGUUGAGAUCUCAAUAGCUUGACAUACAUUAUUCAAUUCUAAAGAUCUAUGAAUAUCUUGAAGUGAAUCAUGUGAAAUUCAUCGAGUUCUAUGAUGUGCGAGCUGCCAAAGCUUCUCUUAGUGCUUUAAACAGGAUCUGUAUUCCUGGAAAGCAAAUCAAGCUUGAACAUGGCCAUCCUAAAAUUGCUAUGUACGGGCUCUACCUGCUACUUUUAGUUGUAAUUUAUUUUCUUCUUGUUAUAGAAUAUUUUUAAACUUUUUAUUCUCUUGGCUGUCUCAAAUUGUUUAUGAGAUAAACAAGGGAAUCAAGAAUUCAGUGAUAAAUUUCAAGACAGAAAGGCUAGCGGGAUAACAAAAUUACCACUCUCUACAUUGAGUUGAGUUUCUAACAUUGCUUAAUU